GAUGAACGCUAGCUACAGGCUUAACACAUGCAAGUCGAGGGGCAGCAUGGUCUUAGCUUGCUAAGGCCGAUGGCGACCGGCGCACGGGUGAGUAACACGUAUCCAACCUGCCGUCUACUCUUGGACAGCCUUCUGAAAGGAAGAUUAAUACAAGAUGGCAUCAUGAGUUCACAUAUUCACAUGAUUAAAGGUAUUCCGGUAGACGAUGGGGAUGCGUUCCAUUAGAUAGUAGGCGGGGUAACGGCCCACCUAGUCUUCGAUGGAUAGGGGUUCUGAGAGGAAGGUCCCCCACAUUGGAACUGAGACACGGUCCAAACGCCUACGGGAGGCAGCAGUGAGGAAUAUUGGUCAAUGGGCGAGAGCCUGAACCAGCCAAGUAGCGUGAAGGAUGACUGCCCUAUGGGUUGUAAACUUCUUUUAUAAAGGAAUAAAGUCGGGUAUGUAUACCCGUUUGCAUGUACUUUAUGAAUAAGGAUCGGCUAACUCCGUG
rnacentral:rRNA from 1 species